AUUGAACGCUGGCGGCAUGCCUUACACAUGCAAGUCGAACGGCAGCGCGGGAGCAAUCCUGGCGGCGAGUGGCGAACGGGUGAGUAAUAUAUCGGAACGUGCCCAGUAGCAGGGGAUAACGCAGCGAAAGCUGUGCUAAUACCGCAUACGCACUACGGUGGAAAGAGGGGGAUCGCAAGACCUCUCACUACUGGAACGGCCGAUAUCAGAUUAGCUUGUUGGCGGGGUAAAAGGCCAGCAAGGCGACGAGCUGUAGCUGGUUUGAGAGAACGACCAGCCAGACUGGGGCUGAGACGCGGCCCAGACUCCUGCGGGAGGCAGCAGUGGGGAAUUUUGGACAAGGGGCGCAAGCCUGAUGCAGCCAUGUCGCGUGCGGGAAGAAGGCCUUCGGGUUGUAAACCGCUUUUGUUCGGGAAGAAAUUGACUGGGCUAAUUCCCUGGUCGGAUGACGGUACCGGAAGAAUAAGCACCGGCUAACUACGUGCCAGCCGCCGCAGUAA
rnacentral:rRNA from 1 species